rnacentral:lncRNA from 10 species
UUCUGCUGCCCAGGCUAGAAUGCAGUGGUGUAAUCAUGGCUCAUUGCAACCUCCACCUCCUGGGCUCGAGUGAUCCUCCCAUCUGAACCUCCCCAACUAGCUGGAACCACUGGUGCGCACUACCACAUCCGGCUAAUUUUUGCAUUUUUUGUAGAGACAGGUUUUCACCACGUUGCCCAGGCUAAUCUCAAACUCCUGAACUCAAGCGAUCUGCCCACCUCGGCCACCCAAAGUGCCAGGAUUACAGCCCCAAGGACAAAGAGUCUGUACCAUGGAAAGGUGGCCUUGCAGUUUUCUAUCAAACUUCCCAGGAGCAGAAAUUUGCAACCUCCUCUUUGCCGCAACACACCAAAAGGAGCAGAAUCAUUGACUCUUAGUAGUUCUCAGCUGUGAUGCAACAAAGCAUUUCAAAACCUCUAGCUGAAUGCUAAGACAAAGGCUUCUCAUUGUGUGAAAGCUGAAGGAUCUCUCCCUGCAUUCCCUUCAUGGGCAUCUCUAGGCUACUUGGCCUCAUGGAUGCUUCAGGCUCUCCAGUGGCUUCAGAGAUCCCUAGUUUCCAGCAUUCCCCCUCCUGCUGCAUGUCUCAGUCUAACUGGUCAUUGAUAGUGGCAGGAGACAGACAAAUUCCUAGGCCGACAGGGUUGGGUUCCUGGUGAAACCCAGCCUUCAAAUCAAAGACAAUUUAAAGCCUGAAAACCGACCUGCUGAUUCCAGAUAGAGUCUACAACCAGAGACACGGCUUUACCUCCUUCUCCAGAGGAUGCAACAAUAAGGCACCAUCUUGGAAGCAGAAAGCAGCCCUCACCAGACACCAAAUCUGCCAGCACCUUGAUCUUGGAUUUCCCAGACUCCAGAACUGUGAGAAAUAAAUUUUUAUUUUUUAUCAAUGAGCCAGUCUAAGGUAUUUUGUUAUAGCAACGCAAACGGACCAAGAUAAUUACCUUUUUUUACUAGAAUAUUUGUUACCUGAGCAUGAAGUUUUAUCUUUCUUUACUGCCUUUUACAUAGGAGGUAAUCAAAUGUGUCCUGAAUUCAGGUUAUUAAAUUAUAUAAUGAAUUAGAUUAUAUUGCCACUGUGUUGUCUCUUUUCACCAAAAUCUACUAAUAAAUAGUUAUGUUAAGAAAUUAAAUAUAUUGCCAGGUGCGGUGGCUCACGCUGUAAUCCCAGCACUUUGGGAAGCUGAGGCGGGCGGAUCACAAGGUCAGAAGUUCAAGACCAGCCUGGCCAAGAGACCAGCCUGGUCAAUAUGGUGAAACCCUAUCUCUACUAAAAA